rnacentral:rRNA from 41 species
GAUGAACGCUGGCGGUAUGCUUAACACAUGCAAGUCGAACGGUCUCUUCGGAGAUAGUGGCGGACGGGUGAGUAACGCGUGAGAAUCUGGCUCUAGGUCUGGGACAACCACUGGAAACGGUGGCUAAUACCGGGUGUGCCGAAAGGUGAAAGGUUAACUGCCUGGAGAUGAGCUCGCGUCUGAUUAGCUAGUUGGUAGGGUAAAAGCUUACCAAGGCGACGAUCAGUAGCUGGUCUGAGAGGACGAUCAGCCACACUGGGACUGAGACAC